CACUCCUGCGGGAGGCAGCAGUGGGGAAUAUUGGACAAUGGGCGCAAGCCUGAUCCAGCCAUGCCGCGUGAGUGAUGAAGGCCCUAGGGUUGUAAAGCUCUUUCACCGGUGAAGAUAAUGACGGUAACCGGAGAAGAAGCCCCGGCUAACUUCGUGCCAGCAGCCGCGGUAAUACGAAGGGGGCUAGCGUUGUUCGGAUUUACUGGGCGUAAAGCGCACGUAGGCGGACUAUUAAGUCAGGGGUGAAAUCCCGGGGCUCAACCCCGGAACUGCCUUUGAUACUGGUAGUCUUGAGUUCGAGAGAUGUGAGUGGAAUUCCGAGUGUAGAGGUGAAAUUCGUAGAUAUUCGGAGGAACACCAGUGGCGAAGGCGGCUCACUGGCUCGAUACUGACGCUGAGGUGCGAAAGCGUGGGGAGCAAACAGGAUUAGAAACCCCGGUAGUCCCAUGAU
rnacentral:rRNA from 1 species